rnacentral:rRNA from 1 species
AACGAACGCUGGCGGCAUGCCUAACACAUGCAAGUCGAACGAGACCUUCGGGUCUAGUGGCGCACGGGUGCGUAACGCGUGGGAACAUGCACUUAGGUUCGGAAUAACUCCCCGAAAGGGGUGCUAAUACCGGAUAAUGUCUUCGGACCAAAGAUUUAUCGCCUUUGGAGGGGCCCGCGUUGGAUUAGCUAGUUGGUAGGGUAAAAGCCUACCAAGGCGACGAUCCAUAGCUGGUCUGAGAGGAUGAUCAGCCACACUGGGACUGAGACACGGCCCAGACUCCUACGGGAGGCAGCAGUGGGGAAUAUUGGACAAUGGGCGAAAGCCUGAUCCAGCAAUGCCGCGUGAGUGAUGAAGGCCUUAGGGUUGUAAAGCUCUUUUACCCGGGAUGAUAAUGACAGUACCGGGAGAAUAAGCUCCGGCUAACUCCGUG